rnacentral:rRNA from 1 species
CUACGGGAGGCCGCAGGGAAUUUUCUCUCACAUGGGCGAAAGCUGAUGGAAGCGACGCCGCGUGAGGGGAUGAAGGCCUCUAGGGUCGUAAACCAUCUUUUCUCAGGGAAGAGCAAGGACGGUACCUGAGGAAUAAAUGACGGC